CAUUAGAACGAGAAAGAGAUCGUAUUCAUUUAUUACGAGCAAAUCAUGAGAAGACAAUGAUCAAAGAGAAUAUUAAAGAAAGAAUUGAAGUUGAGAAAGAAAUUCGUGAAUCUUUCCGAUCACAGACAGGAGGAGGAACACCAGGAACAGGGUUCGGUGGUGGU
rnacentral:ribozyme from 1 species